GACGAACGCUGGCGGCGUGCCUAAUACAUGCAAGUAGGACGCAGUUGCGUACGGGUGAGUAACGCGUAGGUCACUGCCUGUAAAUGGGGGAUAACUAUUGGAAACGAUAGCUAAUACCGCAUACUAGUAGAUGGACCUGCGUUGUAUGAGCUAGUAGGUAGGGGUAUGGCCUACCUAGGCGACCGUACAUAGUCGACGCUAGAGGGUGGUCGGCCAGGCUGUGACUGAGACACGACCCAGACUCCUACGGGAGGCAGCAGUAUGUAAGCUUAGGCAAUGGGGGGAUCCCUGACCGAGCAACGCCGCGUGAGUGAAGAAGGUUUUCGGAUCGUAAGGCUCUGUUGGUAAGGGAGCGUUACUUAACCAGAAAGGGACGGCUAACUACUUGCCAGCAGCCGCGGUAAUUC
rnacentral:rRNA from 1 species